UCUGAGUAGGUAUUAUCGUGA
ensembl:piRNA 21ur-5183 ncRNA